AUCGCUUCUCGGCCUUUUUGCUAAGAUCAAGUGUAGUAUCUGUUCUUAUCAGUUUAAUAUCUGAUAUGUCCUCUAUAUGGGGAUUAAAUAUUAAAUGCAUUUUUGAGCAGUGGGAGGUGAAAACUGGGCUUCUGUUCUUCACCUUUUGCAUUGACCUUGGCAUUGCAGUGCCACCAGAACGGUGCACCAUUC